rnacentral:rRNA from 1 species
UACGUAGGGUGCGAGCGUUGUCCGGAAUUAUUGGGCGUAAAGGGCUCGUAGGCGGUUUGUCGCGUCGGGAGUGAAAACCCAGGGCUUAACCCUGGGCUGGCUUCCGAUACGGGCAGACUAGAGGUAUGCAGGGGAGAACGGAAUUCUUGGUGUAGCGGUGAAAUGCGUAGAUAUCAAGAGGAACACCUGAGGUGAAGACGGGUUGCUGGGCUGACACUGACGCUGAGGCGCGAAAGCCAGGGGAGCAAACGGG